GAAGUCAAGCUUUUCAACUCUGUUGAUAGCCACGGAGAAAUAAUCAAUUUUUUUUUUCCAGUGUGCCAAUUCAAGUAUCCCUGUGUAUGGGGUUUCAACCCCUGAGCGUAAAGGGGUAUUGCAAAAGACGCUCAUGAAUUUUAAAGCGCCCAGAUCAUUUGUCAUAUGGCGAGGAGAGAUCAAGAAAGGAGAACGCUCACCGCCACCACUCGAUGCUCGCUCGAUUAUGUGAUGAAAAACGAGGAAACGAGAAAUUUAUGGAAACGCUUUAGUCUCCCUGUCAUUAUCCAUCAAUGCCGAAUGAAAUUUUGGGCAUUACGACACACGUGUGGGCCAGAGUGAAAGACAAACAAUUGUGAGAUCAUCGGAAGGACUAGUCGACGUUCA